UUUCCCCUCCCCGACGUUCACGCACGCAUAUAUGAUAUUUAUACGCCUGUAUAUUUACUAUUCCUCACAAAAAAGUAGCCGUUCGGAGAUAGAGAGAGAGUAGUGGUUUAUUGUGGCUCACACUUCAACGGAGAGAAUGGUGGUUUUCACGGCAAUAAAGACGCAUUCGAUGGUCCAAACUGUAAGCAUUGCAAUAAAUCUGUUACUGGUCUGAUUCGUAUUCUUCGCCGAAGGGAUUUUCAUUGAUUUGGCUAAGAGAUUCACAAUUGGACCUGAUUCCAAACGUGGCCUUGCUCUCUUCUCGACGGUUGCUUGAUUGAGAAGACAAAAGGUCCUAACCUCCCUCAUUCUUUUAGCUUUGUGUCCUAGAAAGACGGCAACUGUAAUGGCUGUGAAAGAGACCUUAAGCUCUCAACUCAUGGUGCUUCAUAUCUAUGCUGAUGUAUGAAGGGCAGAAAAAUUGUUUUGGGCAGAUAUCUUUCUCUCUUCUAGUUGAACUUGAAUCACUUCUUUCGUAAGGUAAGGUGAAUAAGUUGAUUGCAGAUAUUGGGUUCAAUGCUCUUGUAUAAUUUUCUAUAUGUUAGAAUUUGUCUGGUCAAAUAUUUGUUACUUUGAUCUUGAAAGAUAGUCGCUCUUCGCAUUAACAUUUAUUGACAACUGCAUUAUGAUAAUUAUUGUGCCAUCAAGGCAUCAACAGGUAUUCGCAUUAGAAGUUAUUUUGUCUCUUGUGAGUCAGCUGUCAUUAACCAUUAGAUUUUUUUUUAUUUGUUUUUCUUUCUAUAGUUUUAAAGAUCAACAGCUUUGUCAUUUUUCGUAGUUGUUUGAUUCUCGUGUUAUAUGACUCUAUCUUUCAUGAACUAUUGGUUGAUCAGUUUUCAUUUUGUGUACGGAAUCAUAGUCAUAAGCUAGUUGCUCAUCUUCAAAUUAGUUCUUUGUGGUUAUGUAGGUUUUGGCUGAUAGUGUCUAUUUCCCAUGUCGGUGUGUGAUAGGAUAGCAGUACACAGAUUCUGACAAUGUGGCUGUGAAGUUUGUAAAAAUUGAUGAUAAAAGGUAAGUGUUACGUUUAUAUUUUGGAUUCAAGUCAGCUUGAAUAUUCAGGAUUUUGUUAUCUAUGUUUUGUUCUUUGAAACAUGUAUUUACUAUGCACAUAUGAGGUGCUUUUUUUUCCUUUCUCACUCGUAGUUAAUUUUUAAGGCAUGUUAUGCUGUUAUAUGAUAGUUCCUUAAAGAUUGCAUUUGCAUAUAGUUCUCUUUUUAUUGUCAAUCCACUGAAAAUGAUCUCAAGAAAGAAAGUUUUUCUAAUUUAUUUGCGGUUUUUUCUUUCAGUUGCGGUUUCGAAACCUUUAAAGUUUUUGAGAUGUAGAGAAAUAUUCCAUGCCGCAAAUUUACUUUUGUAUUUUUGGUUUUCAUAGCCUCUAACUACUCUUUGUUAUCAACUUCUUGCGCUGGUUACUGUAUUUUUUUUUUUUUUUUUGUUAUUGAUUAAUUUUAUUAUUUAGCAGUAUUAUUUGAUGUUGAUUAAUUUACUUGUAAUGCAUAUGAUUAUUAUUAAUCUUAUGGAAAAACAAGAGUUGGAACCUGAGAGAACUAAGUGAAGAGAAUGUUAGUUCAAUGGUAAUGUAUGGAAUGCUCGGGCAUUGAUUGAGAAGGGUUCCGGAGUGAACUAGCUCAUUCCAUGUCUAAUUCAGAAGAAAGGACAGCCAGAAUGGGACUCAUCAGGAAGAAUUAGAUUGUAUAAUUUGUUGGGAUUUGAUUACUCCUUUUGGAGAUUGGGGAGGGUAUUCUCCUAAGCACUGUGGGAGGUUGUUCGAAGGAAAACCCAGAGCCCAAUGCAACCGAGUGAUUAUAUCAAAUAUAUAACUACCUAUAUACUAAAUACAUGUACAUACCACACAUAUAUACUAAUUAUAUGUACGAAGUCAUAUAUAUGAUAAAUAUAAACAAAGUAGUAAGAAUUAUACUU